rnacentral:misc_RNA from 1 species
UUAUAAGUUAAUAUACAUACAUGUGGUAAUCCCAGUUGUCUUACUUUCACCUUCUACGUACAAAUUUUUUAUUUUUUUUUUACAUUUUCAGAUCAAAAAAUUCUAAGUGGUUGUUGGGGUUUUCAGAAGCUUCAUCAUGAAGUUGAAUUUCAUAUCUGGAGAGGUCCUGGGCUGGGGCCAGUUUGCUCCUUCUGGUACCUUAAUACAUUUGAAACCUUGGCCUUUGUAUAGUUUUGUAGCCCCAGGAUUGUUCAGAUCACAAUGCAAUGCAAUGGCGCGACAGCCCCAGCUCCUGGCCUGAGCCUCUGCUUUUGCUAUAAGUCUCUUAGCU